UUGGAAUGUGAAUAAAAAAAGAGGAAUUUAUGAGAAUUUGGAGCAAAUGAUAAGAAGGUGCUUCCCCCCCCCCAGGCCCCCGCGAGCCGACAGCUGGAGCGAGAUGAGCGACCCAAAUCCAUCCAUCGCGACGCCUGCUAAAUUUGUCCGUAUUCUUAACGCUCAGCUCCGGUCGUGGGAAAAUCAUAAUAUAAUUGGGAGGAGGGAGAAAGGUUUACUCACCAGCAGGAAUCUGAUGAUGCUGGUAAAGGGAGGAAGGCGCUGAUGAUGAGUUGACGAUGGGUGUCCGGAGCCCUGGUUUUCUCGUCUCCUCCAAGAUCCAUCCAAGUCCCCAAGUGGAGUUUGGAGUUGCUUUCGUGUUGGAUGUUGUUGAUGAUGAGCUCUGCAACGUACUGACCCCAAACCCCGAAACGACUCACAGCGUCCAUCCCCACCCAACCUCCUCCACAGCGUUGCCAGCGCCACUCCCCGCCAACACAAACCCCCUCGCACAAUGCCCCAAUCCAUAUCACCCCACACUCUCCCCCUGUCCGUCCCCUUCCUGGGGGUGGUCAGCACCUGGGCGCCUUGUUCCCUACCCUUGUGUCCACGGUCAUGACUCCCACAAAACAGGACCCAUCCCUCGGCAGAUUCAUACCACUUUGAUAGUCGUGACAAAUACGGCAACGCUGCCACCUCACCCCCUCCCACAGGGGACCAUCUAGUAUGCAACUAACUACAUGUAGUAUGCCAAGCUCGUGGAUGCUCCCAUCCUAGUUCGUGAGGGGAGCAUUCAUGAGAAAUAUGCCAGAGAAAGUUGGCAUCCGGAUCAAACAAAGUGAAGAAAAUAAGCCAUGUUUUUUAUGUGACUCGUCAUGAAUCACGUUUCACGAUUAUGAUGUGCUGGAUGUUUUUAAUUUUAUUAACGACAUUUAGUGUUACGAUUACAUGAUGUCCUAUUAUGGGCCGAGACUAUAUGUAAACUGUACAAUGCGUGCUUAGUUGGUAUAGUCUUUGUGUAAUUUAUUAAAAUAUCUUUGAUUCCUUUUGGAAUCAGUGCGGGGGAGGACUAACAUGACUACACAAGAAUUAUUUAAUCAUUUAUCUCAUA